UGAGGUCAAGAUGCUUCUGCUGCUGGAAAUUUUCUCCUGCACUGCACUCUGGUUUGGAUUUAGUCUAAUGAAGUAUCUUGCAGCUCAGAUGGUCUCUGCUCUGUUCUUGACGUUAAACUGGUUUUUUAAUAUAGUGAUGUCCAGAGUUAAGAAAAAUAGUGUAUUUAUUUUUUAAAGUCCAGGUAUGCCUUGCUGAGCAAAAUGAUAGCCAAAAUACUUAGACAAUGGUAGAAAUGCCACCAAUGUACUGAACAUGGAACCUGAAAAAUGUUCUUUUUUAGCCACCAAUAAUUCCUUUGCACCACUGCAGAACAUACUCAGAUGCCUCUUCCACAAGGACAUCACCUUUAUAACCAGCAAAACUCUACUCAGCCUUCACAAUUCUAUAAAAUGGCUCCAUCCCACAGGUUCAUCCCAUGUCCUCACUUCACUCAGCUAGCCUGAAGAAGUCACCCUGGGAGAUCUGGAAGCGGCCAGAAGCUGGCUCUGGGAGGCUCAGGGCCCUGGUACCCAAGAAGCACAAACCAGCCCAGCUCUCCAGUGCUAAACACUGCUGUCUUUCUGCUGUAAUUCCCAGGUAGGCAGCUUCAGUUACAAUCAGGUUAAUUGAAGAAAAUUAUAUAAGAGCAUUGCCACAUAGCCUGAUUGAACCAAAUUGCCAAUCAGUGAAGUAGACCAAAGUUGAGAAAUCAAAGCAGCAUGUCAGUAAGGCACAGGGACUCGGGAAUACCUUUACGCUCAGUAACUUGUCAUUUCGUAGUGAUUAGCUUCUCUCUAAUUUUGCUGUGCUUCAACCAUUGCAUAUUUAAAGUUGGGCAGUCAGUGGGUUACAGGGCCUCGGGAAAUGUGCCAUCAUUUCUUGCUAAGCCCAGAGCUCUGCGAGGUGCGACCAAAGCCCAAAGGCUUGGUUCACAUGGCAGUGGCCAUGCUCAUUGCCUUGCAGGGGCUGGAGAUGUGGCUAAGGGCUGCUCAUCCCUGCACACAUGCAAUUCCUCUUCCACACUGACCAAGUCAUCUUAAUCGGCUGAAGCUUGGAUGUGCUGCUUGUUAUUUCAAAGCUAGGUAUGCAUGGUAAUGGUCGUGUUAUUGCAGGGACUUUGCUCUAUUUUUCUAUCAAAUAAAAAUGACGGGUUGAAAAAGUCUCCCUGUGGCAGUUCUGGGAACACCCUGGGCUGGUCCUGCCUUAUCUGCAUAUCUACAGAGCCUGCAAGAUAUCACAGCGUGAGACAUAGCAUGUGGUUUAGAGCGUUCACAGCGGGGCUGAUAGAAGCCACUUACUGGAAAGCUUUGGUCUGCCCCGGUGCAGCGCUGCCAGGGUUCAGAGGUCCGACUCCUGCACUCCUUGUACACAGGCAUGCUUUGAAGACUGUGAUCAUGUUUUGUGUGAGUCAAUGUUUGAAGCACUUUGGAAUCUCCCUGGAUGAAGGCAUAUCUCUAUCAAGCAGUUUUGCUUUCUUUAUCAUGAUAUGAUUACUUAUAUUGCAGUAAUUUUUGUUGUUUUGUACCAAACCUGUGCAAUAACCAGCUCCCAAUAUUGAUUGUACUGCAACGAUAUUGGUCUCUCUAAGGAUGUUUUUAUUUACCGCAUUGUUAGCAAAGCAAUCGGAUUGCCCUUGUACUAGCAAUAAAAUGUGAUGCAUAAAACUGAUGAUA